UACAGAGGGUGCAAGCGUUAAUCGGAAUUACUGGGCGUAAAGCGCACGUAGGCGGUCAUGUAAGUCGGGUGUGAAAUCCCCGGGCUCAACCUGGGAACUGCAUUCGAGACUGCAUGGCUAGAGUACGGUAGAGGAGGGCGGAAUUCCCGGUGUAGCGGUGAAAUGCGUAGAUAUCGGGAGGAACAUCAGUGGCGAAGGCGGCCCUCUGGACCAGUACUGACGCUCAGGUGCGAAAGCGUGGGGAGCAAAC
rnacentral:rRNA from 1 species